ACGAUUAAACCGCUUGGUAGCGUUCCUUUUUGUUUGAGCUUUCUCGACCGAUCACCGAAGUUAAGCAAUGUCGGGCCUGGUCAGUACUUGGGAGGGUGAUCACCUGGGAACCCCGGGUGUUGUAGGCA